rnacentral:rRNA from 1 species
UGCACAAGGCGGUGGAGCAUGUGGUUUAAUUCGAUGCAACGCGAAGAACCUUACCUACGUCUUGACAUCCACAGAACUUUCCAGAGAUGGAUAUGGUGCCUUCGGGAACUGUGAGACAGGUGCUGCAUGGCUGUCGUCAGCUCGUGUUGUGAAAUGUUGGGUUAAGUCCCGCAACGAGCGCAACCCUUAUCCUUUGUUGCCAGCGGUCCGGCCGGGAACUCAAAGGAGACUGCCAGUGAUAAACUGGAGGAAGGUGGGGAUGACGUCAAGUCAUCAUGGCCCUUACGACCAGGGCUACACACGUGCUACAAUGGCGCAUACAAAGAGAAGCGACCUCGCGAGAGCAAGCGGACCUCAUAAAGUGCGUCGUAGUCCGGAUUGGAGUCUGCAACUCGACUCCAUGAAGUCGGAAUCGCUAGUAAUCGUGGAUCAGAAUGCCACGGUGAAUACUUUCCCGGGCA